GAAGUUAUGAGAAUUUACUUGAAGGUAGAAUAAUUGUUGCUAGAGGCUGAAGAGAGGAGAUUGGUAGAAAUCGCCAGAACAGAAGGGGCACAUUCUGCUGUCUGCAUCACAGUGGCCUGACCACAGUUCACGUGGCCUGGUAGGCAUUCGAUGACGUCACUGCGGCAUAGGUUCACUUCUGGUGCGAUCCCCUUUGCGCAUCUCCCUUGUCCCACCACGUCUACAUUCUAGCCGAGUUCUCCACUGUCUUC
rnacentral:lncRNA from 1 species